GCUCCAAUAGCGUAUAUUAAAGUUUGUUGCAGUUAAAAAGCUCGUAGUUGGAUUUCAAGGUGGAUGGAGUAUUAACUCUUAAAGCCUAUCAGUCGAAAGAACUGUUACUGUGAGAAAAUUAGAGUGUUUCAAGCAGGCAAUUGCAGGAAUACAUUAGCAUGGAAUAACGAGUGUGGCUAGAAUCUUGGUUAAUUCUAGUU
rnacentral:rRNA from 1 species